CCUACGGGAGGCAGCAGUGAGGAAUAUUGGUCAAUGGACGAGAGUCUGAACCAGUCAAGUAGCGUGAAGGAUGACUGCCCUAUGGGUUGUAAACUUCUUUUAUAUGGGAAUAAAAUGUUCCACGUGUGGGAUUUUGUAUGUACCAUAUGAAUAAGGAUCGGCUAACUCCGUGCCAGCAGCCGCGGUAAUACGGAGGAUCCGAGCGUUAUCCGGAUUUAUUGGGUUUAAAGGGAGCGUAGGUGGAUUGUUAAGUCAGUUGUGAAAGUUUGCGGCUCAACCGUAAAAUUGCAGUUGAAACUGGCAGUCUUGAGUACAGUAGAGGUGGGCGGAAUUCGUGGUGUAGCGGUGAAAUGCUUAGAUAUCACGAAGAACUCCGAUUGCGAAGGCAGUUCACUGGACUGCAACUGACACUGAGGCUCGAAAGUGUGGGUAUCAAACAGGAUUAGAUACCCCAGUAGUC
rnacentral:rRNA from 1 species